ACUGAAUGAAAUCUUACAAUAAUUUCUUAAUAAAAACACUUCAAUAUCAACUCCUAUCUCUCCUAACUAUAAAAGUACUAAAAAGGAAAAUAUUUAUAUUAUAAAGUAGUGAACAGCCACGUACCUUGUGCAUUAUGGUUUUACAAGCAUAUAAUUAAACAUACACUCCCGAAUACUACGCGAGCUGCCUUUCCAUAGCUAAGAGCCCCCUAUUAGUUAUAGCAUCAACUUUAGAAAAUGGAACGGCAGAGGCUACAUACCACACGCGCUAGACAAUUGCUGGUUAUCAGUAAACCUUAUAUAUUAAACCAUGUAGAACCUCUACAAUGUUAAGUCUUAGAGGAUAAGCCCUAAGAUUACAAGCAAACAAUCUUUAAUUAACUUAUCAAUAGGCCUAAAAUCAGCCAUCUAUAGUACUUCACCGUACCAUAACCUUAAUUCAUAACAAACUUGCCCGCCAAAACUGAUAUUUAAGAAUAAUAAAAAAUCUUAAAAUAUUAUGUAAAAAUAAGUAUUAAAAAUUUAUCUCAAAAAAUCUAUAAAUAAGCACUUAUAAAGGAACUCGGCAAAUUCUUAUUUCGACUGUUUAACAAAAACAUUGCUUCUUGUAUUCACAUAUGAAGUAAU
rnacentral:rRNA from 1 species